rnacentral:rRNA from 1 species
GUACGGGGGGGGCAAGCGUUGUUCGGAAUUACUGGGCGUAAAGGGCCAGUAGGCGGCCAACUAAGUCGGAUGUGAAAUCCCCAGGCUCAACCUGGGAACUGCAUCCGAUACUGGAUGGCUUGAAUUCGGGAGAGGAACGCAGAAUUCCAGGUGUAGCGGGUGAAAUGCGUAGAUAUCUGGAGGAAUACCGGUGGCGAAGGCGGCGUUCUGGACUGCAACUGACACUGAUGAACGAAAGCCAGGGGAGCAAACGGG